CCAAAAACGGUCUAAUCCUCUAAAGACAUUUGCUCAUGUGCGACGUUUGUAAAUUGAAAUACAUCAUGGGAUUUAGAGACUCACCAGUUGCGAAAUUUUAUAAUCUAGGAAACUAGGAAUAUGUUACCAAUAAUAUUAACGACUAUUAAAGUGCCAGCAGUCGCGGUCAUACUUUAGUUGAAAACAAACUUAAUUAGGACCUGCCGUAGUAAAUAAUAAACUUAUAGUAAAAUAUAGUGACUAUAUACUUUCAUACUCCCAUUGACAUAAAUACUGGAAGCAAACAGGGAUUAGAUACCCCUUUAUGCAGUAAGUAAAACACGUCCUGGGCAUUACAAUUAACAGAUUAAAACCCAAUGAACAUGGCGGUAGUUUAAACAUUUAGGGGAACUUACUAAGUAAAUGAUAACCACCAAGAAUAUGUACGUUAAGUCACAUUUUACAUACCGUCGUCGUCAGAUCUACUUAGAUAGAAUAUCAACAUAUUUUCGAAAAUAAAAGGACAGAUCAAGGUGUAGACUAUUUUAACGUUUCAGCGAGUUACAUUAUUUUUUGUUUUCGUAAACUUAUUAUAUAAUAAGUUACAGGCGGACUUAAAAGUAAUAUUUAUAGAAGAUACAAUAUGAAUAAUCUUAACCUG
rnacentral:rRNA from 1 species